rnacentral:misc_RNA from 1 species
UCCGAGUUGACCCCGGCAGUCUCCUAUGAGUCCCCGCCAUUACGCGCUGGCAACAUAGAACGAGGGUUGCGCUCGUUGCGGGACUUAACCCAACAUCUCACGACACGAGCUGACGACAACCAUGCACCACCUGUAAACCGACCGCAAGCGGGGCACCUGUCUCCAGGUGUUUCCGGUUCAUGUCAAGCCUUGGUAAGGUUCUUCGCGUUGCAUCGAAUUAAUCCGCAUGCUCCGCCGCUUGUGCGGGCCCCCGUCAAUUCCUUUGAGUUUUAGCCUUGCGGCCGUACUCCCCAGGCGGGGCACUUAAUGCGUUAGCUACGGCGCGGAAAACGUGGAAUGGAUCCCACACCUAGCGCCCAACGUUUACGGUGUGGACUAC